rnacentral:lncRNA from 1 species
CUCCCUUAAGGCCUUCUUUUCGUAAAAACUACAUUUCCCAUGAGGCACAGGCGAGACGUCGGCGCCGCGCAGUUCUUUGCCGUCGCUCCGCGUCCUUUAUACUCACUUCCGCCCGCGGGCUACUUCCUUUCUUUUCGGCGGCGCACGGCGGCAAGAUGGCGGUGCAGAUUUCCAAGAAGAGGAAGAACACAGAAUGUUCUUGGUGAGAAGGGCCGCCGCAUUCGGGAAUUGACUGCAGUAGUUCAGAAGAGAUUUGGCUUCCCAGAGGGCAGUGUAGAGGUGAGUGGUUCUGGCUUAUGUCAGAAAUAAUGGCUCUUUAAAAUGGUACUUCUAAAAACACUCAACAUCACCUUGGAGAAAUAAUUAAUUUAUUAUUUAUUUAAUUUAUUAAUUAAUAUUAUUUAUUAACAUUAUUUAUUUAUUUAAUUAUUUAUUAUUUCAUAAUGAAUAAAUAUUACAGAUGGAUCAGUAUUUUGUUGAAGUUCUCUUAAUGAGCAGAGGGCUUAACUUACAGGCCUAUUCUGCCAGUGUCUCUGGUGGUUAAAGGGUUUUACAUUCAACUUGGGUAUGGAAAUGAUGCAUGUGAUGGACUGAUUACUAUCCCAUUGGUCUCCUUGGUGUGGCUAUAGAAGGGGGGGCAAUGAUUCAGUCUGUGUCACAGUGUAUUGUGUGUGGGUAGUAGAAAUGAUUUUGUACUUGAGGGAUACUUAAAUAAUACAUGCGAUGGUAUAGAAAAAAUGCUUUUAUGACAAAUGUGUUGCUUUUUAAUUGACGACAAUGGUGAAGGUAACAGGAUGUGCCUUCCUUCCUUUAAAGCUUUAUGCUGAAAAGGUGGCCACGAGAGGUCUGUGUGCUAUUGCCCAGGCAGAAUCUCUGCGUUACAAACUCCUUGGAGGGCUUGCUGUUCGGAGGUAAGUGUGCUGAGACGCGAUGGUAAUGCCCUUUUGUGCUUGAUCCUAUCAAAAGGCCUAGAAGAUACGGUCUUGGCGUUUUGUGUGGAUCAAAAUACAGUGUGUCUGCCGUUUUGUUAAUUUAGCAGAUGAACUAUUAAGAAGUGGCAGGAACUGCUAGUCUCUGAGGGUUGUAACAAUAGAAUACUGCUAAUAUACGCCCUCAUUGAACUGACAAGCUAACAAGACUACUAAAGAAGCAAAAAACAUGUAGGGUGGUCAGUGCUGGAAUGGAGACAUGUUCCGAGUACUUUGGGAGUAGAACAGAAUUGUACAGGGAGG